rnacentral:rRNA from 2 species
GAUUUCUGGUGUUUUACUCUUAGCCCACCACGGUUACGUGUGUGAGUGCCUAGAUGUAUGCACCAUCCUUCUAGUUAUAACAGCUAGUUCAGCUCUUCAUUGAGUUGGAUUAGUAUGUGUCUAGAUCUUUUACUUUGAAAAAAUUAGAGUGUUUAAAGCAGGCUUUUGCUAUGAAUACAUUAGCAUGGAAUAAUAAUUUAGGACUUUGUUUCUAUUUUGUUGGUUUCUAGGGAUGAAGUAAUGAUUGAUAGGGAUAGUUGGGGGUGCUAGUAUUCAGUGGCCAGAGGUGAAAUUCUCGGAUUCACUGAAGACUAACUUAUGCGAAAGCAUU